GUGCCAGCAGCCGCGGUAAUACGGAGGGGGCCAGCGUUGUUCGGAAUUAUUGGGCGUAAAGGGCGCGUAGGCGGCCGGAUAGGUCUGACGUGAAAUCCCUCGGCUCAACCGGGGAACUGCGUUUGAAACUGUCUGGCUCGAGUCCGGGAGAGGGUAGUGGAAUUCCCAGUGUAGCGGUGAAAUGCGUAGAUAUUGGGAGGAACACCGGUGGCGAAGGCGGCUACCUGGACCGGUACUGACGCUGAGGCGCGAAAGCUAGGGUAGCAAACAGGAUUAGAUACCCUGGUAGUCCUAGCUGUAAACGAUGGAUGCUUGGUGUAGCGGGUAUCGACCCCUGCUGUGCCGAAGCUAACGCAUUAAGCAUCCCGCCUGGGGAGUACGGUCGCAAGGCUAAA
rnacentral:rRNA from 1 species